UUGUUCUGUUGAGUCGUUUGGUUUGUUUAUGUAUCCUAUGUAGAGGUGUAGUUUUACAAAAUGCCCUCUGCAAGCAGGAAGAACUCCCCUCCGAACUGAUUCUUCACCUGAGCAUCAGGAAAAGAAAGAAAUCUGUGACUGAUGACAUUUCAAGGGCAAGGAAAACAACUGCUCAGGGGAGAAUUGUCUGAUUUGGUUGGUGUUUAUUUUUACUUCCAUCAAGCAAUCUGCUCUCCAACAGAAGAAGCAUCUCUGCAGAAGAGAAGACUGUCUCCUUUUUGGAUGGAUGCCUGAUCAGAAGAAAAGGUGCCACUAAGGACCAGAGUGCCUGUGUCCAUACAACGAGAGAGGAUACAGGAGUGGAAACAAGCAGCAAGGGUCGUCUUGCCUGACACCUGUAACUUUAUGUCACCUGACAGAAGACACAUGACAUCAUUGCCUAGACUUCAAUAUCACACCAACAUCAGCUACAAGAUCAGGAGUCCCCUAGUAUGACAGGUAAAGGUCACAAUCUGGAUGUUAGUAGGGUGGAACAGCAUCAUGUUCAAAUGUUCUUCUGAAAACUUGGGGAAAUACAUCCCCAAAGUCUUUAUCUAAAAGAGAGAAGUAAUAAGACUGCAGAAGACUAAGAAGACUAGAAAGUUUCAGAGUUAGGAAAAGCAGCCAGAAAUCGUGUAAUUAGAGAUUACUUUAGGGCAUAUACAUGGAAAGGCAACCUUUAUUCUGGCAUUUUCUAACUCCUGCAUGCUCACAAAUUAUUCAUGUUUUGGCAAAGACUUUGUAUAUGUAAAAUGCAUAUAUUAUAUAUAGAACUGAAUUAAUCUCUGAUAUAUUUUUGACUUAUAAAUAGUUUCCUGUUUCUGUGCUAGAAUCUACACCAUUAAUGCAUUCAAAUGCCAGUGUCUGGAUUUAUUUGCUUCUUGAUAAUCCAAAAUCUGAGCCUAGACAUGCUCAGCCUGUCCAAAUUUCAGUCUUAUCUAGCAUUAUUUUUUUGUAAGUCAGCCUAAUAAAUUAUCUGUGUCCUGAUGUAAAGUGGUUCUCUUGCUCAGGGGCUCUGGAUUGCUCUAAUGUUAUUUAUUUAGUUAUUUUCACCUGCUGCACGAACAUUAUGGUUGACAGACAGUAAUUUUUCCCCCUAU